rnacentral:piRNA from 1 species
UGCUAGUGAAGAAGCACUUUCCCCC